rnacentral:rRNA from 1 species
CCUACGGGUGACAGCAGUGAGGAAUAUUGGUCAAUGGGCGGGAGCCUGAACCAGCCAAGUCGCGUGAAGGAAGAAGGUACUUAGUAUUGUAAACUUCUUUUGUCGGGGAACAAAGGCGGAGACGCGUCUCCGGAUGAGUGUACCCGAAGAAAAAGCAUCGGCUAACUCCGUGCCAGCAGCCGCGGUAAUACGGAGGAUCCGAGCGUUAUCCGGAUUUAUUGGGUUUAAAGGGUGCGUAGGCGGCCUUUUAAGUCAGCGGUGAAAGUCUGUGGCUCAACCAUAGAAUUGCCGUUGAAACUGGGAGGCUUGAGUAUGUUUGAGGCAGGCGGAAUGCGUGGUGUAGCGGUGAAAUGCUUAGAUAUCACGCAGAACCCCGAUUGCGAAGGCAGCCUGCCAAGCCAUGACUGACGCUGAUGCACGAAAGCGUGGGGAUCAAACAGGAUUAGAUACCCUGGUAGUC